GGACACGGCACACACCGGGAGGAGGGCGCAAAGGGGAAGCUCUCUGAGGAGCGCACCCUGAACUGCGUUCCCCAGGUGUGCGUGUAUCCCACUUUCGGGCUCACGCUGCAGACAGAACCCUGCACAGCGCGGACCGUCGGGUGCUUCUCUAUUCCCUCUACGGAAUCCCUUUGUUCUUUCCUUUCACUUCGCAGCACACGCUGUAGUUGGUAUAUCGCCCUCCGCAGACUUCACGGCCCUUACAAAGCACAGCGGAGCGCCCUCAGUGCCGUCCGGCGCUGCCGGAGGUGCCCGUUUGGCGGCGGGCCCGUCUCGCUCUCAGAAUGGGACGCGAAGCGGCAGCGGGGCGGAGGUAGCCGGGCACCAGCCGGCAUCGCAGCUCCGGGCCGGGCUGCGCUCGCGCCUGCGCUGCCCGGAGGCGGAGGCGGCCGAGGGGCACCGGGCGUGAGGCGCCGGCGGGCCCUCGUUCCUCCCCGCCCGCCCCGAGCCGGAGACAAAGCGGACAAAGGAGCUCCCGCGCCCCGCGCUCGGCUCGGCGGUCCCCGGAGCUCCGUCACCGGCGGCGCGGAGAGAGAGAGAUCUCGAGAGCCAGAGCGAGCGAGGAGGAUGCGGGCGGCGGAGCGGCGGGCGGAUGCGGAGCGCGGCCCCGCGGCGGAGGGAGUCGGGAACCGCCGGCAGCGGGGCCGUCCCGGAGGGCAGGCGGCCCCAUAAGCGCGACCGAAGGAGGAUGGAGCCAGAAGCGGCUCGGGCUGACACGUGCGGCCGCGACUAGGGCCACCCCCGUCCCCUCCCUCCCUCCUCCCCUCCCCACGAUGCUGCACUCCCGCCGGCUCUUGCAGCGCGUUCGACGCGCGGCGGCGAUGGAGCCGAGCGGGCGGCUGUGAGGCGCGGCGCGCAGCAUGGCCUCGGCGGACGGCGCGGCGCAGCACCGUUGCCCCGGGGCGGAGCGGGCGGCGGCGGCGCGGUGCCGCAGCCUGCCGGCAAUCG
ensembl:lncRNA